AAAGAAUUAGUUAAAUAAAUAACAUAAAUCUGUCUAAUUUAAAUUAUUAAAAAUAAUAUUCUUUU
rnacentral:tRNA from 1 species